rnacentral:tRNA from 1 species
AAAAAGAUAAAAUCCAGUCUGGCUUACGCCGACUUGAACUCAGUUCAUGUGUUUUUUUA